rnacentral:rRNA from 1 species
UACGUAGGCAGCGAGCGUUGUUCGGAGUUACUGGGCGUAAAGGGUGUGUAGGCGGUUGUUUAAGUUUGGUGUGAAAUCUCCCGGCUCAACUGGGAGGGUGCGCCGAAUACUGAAUGACUUCGAGUGCGGGAGAGGAGAGUGGAAUUCCUGGUGUAGCGGUGAAAUGCGUAGAUAUCAGGAGGAACACCGGUGGCGAAGGCGGGUCUCUGGGCCGUAACUGACGCUGAGGAGCGAAAGCGUGGGGAGCGAACAGG